rnacentral:rRNA from 1 species
GACGAACGCUGGCGGCGUGCUUAACACAUGCAAGUCGAACGGAAAGGCCCUGCUUGCAGGGUACUCGAGUGGCGAACGGGUGAGUAACACGUGGGUGAUCUGCCCUGCACUUCGGGAUAAGCCUGGGAAACUGGGUCUAAUACCGGAUAGGAGCCAUUUUUAGUGUGAUGGUUGGAAAGUUUUUUCGGUGUAGGAUGAGCUCGCGGCCUAUCAGCUUGUUGGUGGGGUAAUGGCCUACCAAGGCGGCGACGGGUAGCCGGCCUGAGAGGGUGGACGGCCACAUUGGGACUGGGAUACGGCCCAGACUCCUACGGGAGGCAUCGGUGGGGAAUAUUGCACAAUGGGCGCAAGCCUGAUGCAGCGACGCCGCGUGGGGGAUGACGGCCUUCGGGUUGUAAACUCCUUUCGCUAGGGACGAAGCUUUAUGUGACGGUACCUAGAUAAGAAGCACCGGCUAACUACGUG